CAUCCUGAUUUUUCCCGCGUUGUCUGCCACGCCUCCGCAGCCACUCGACGCCAGGGCGCCGGGAGUGUCACACGACUGCUGCCCCAUGCAUGUGAGAUAAGUCCUCUGGCAUGUCAUGGAUCCUGAGGUUCCAGGAUUGUCAGCUGACCUCUGUCCUGUGUGCCCAGCGGCCCCAGCGGCCCCAGGUGAUGUGUCUUCAAGAAAAGGCUGAACUGUGGUGCUUGUAAGAUGGGCCUGCUGUGUGCAGAGGCUCCGUGGGAUGUGUUGUCUUCAUAGCAGCAGGGCGCUGGACCAUGGGUCCCUGAGGUCUCAGCCGUAGAUCCAAGGAUGGUCCAAGGAAGUCCUAAGACCCUGGAGUUCUGGGUUUGCUGAUACUUCUCACCAUGAAUCUCUUGGUGGUGUUUGUGGACACCAGAGGGGCAGAGACUAGUGAGACCACCACAUGAAGCAUUUCCAGAGCUGCUCCCUGCUGCCUGCUCAGAGCAGCCUGGAUCCACUAUUCACUUUGCACAAGAUUCCAGGUCCAGACAUGGAAGACUUCAGCUGCCUCAGAGGACUGUGGACAGGGAAGGCCUGCCCCGCAUCCCCCUGUCCAUUCCUGGAGAUCUACCUGCCUCAGCCUCCCAAAGUGUUGGGAUUACAGAUGUGA